AGAAUUGGGUCUGGGCAUCCUG
rnacentral:miRNA from 1 species